rnacentral:rRNA from 1 species
UACGGGGGGAGCAAGCGUUGUUCGGAUUUACUGGGCGUAAAGGGCGCGUAGGCGGCCAGCACAAGUCAGUUGUGAAAUCUCCGAGCUUAACUCGGAAAGGUCAACUGAUACUGUGCGGCUAGAGUGCGGAAGGGGCAACUGGAAUUCUCGGUGUAGCGGUGAAAUGCGUAGAUAUCGAGAGGAACACCUGCGGCGAAGGCGGGUUGCUGGGCCGACACUGACGCUGAGGCGCGAAAGCCAGGGGGGCGAACGGG